rnacentral:rRNA from 1 species
UCAGAGCCCACCGCUUGCGGUGCGGCGCUGGUGUUGGGGAUCGGCCCGC